rnacentral:misc_RNA from 1 species
GAAAAAACUCGAUGCUAUUAAGUGACUCGGGUAUUGAUUUGUCGAAGUGGAAAGAACUGCAAAAUCAAGAUGGAGAAAUGGCUGACUUGAAUAAGUUUGUUCAACACGUGAGUGAAAAUUAUUUCAUCCCAAAUAGUGUUAUAGUGGAUUGCACUGCAGACUCUCAUAUCGCAAGCCAUUACUAUGACUGGUUGCAUAGAGGAAUCCAUGUGGUCACCCCAAAUAAAAAGGCUAAUUCAGGACCA